GACGGGUGGAGUAACGCGUGGGUAACCUGCCCUGUACAGGGGGAGUAACAGUCAGAAAUGACUGCUAAUACCGCAUAAGACCACAGCACCGCAUGGUGCAGGGGUAAAAACUCCGGUGGUACAGGAUGGACCCGCGUCUGAUUAGCUGGUUGGUGAGGUAACGGCUCACCAAGGCGACGAUCAGUAGCCGGCUUGAGAGGUUGAACGGCCACAUUGGGACUGAGACACGGCCCAGACUCCUACGGGAGGCAGCAUG
rnacentral:rRNA from 1 species